rnacentral:rRNA from 1 species
UACGUAGGGACCAAGCGUUGUUCGGAUUUACUGGGCGUAAAGGGCGCGUAGGCGGCAAUUCAAGUCAUCUGUGAAAUCUCCGGGCUUAACCCGGAACGGUCAGAUGAUACUGCUUUGCUAGAGUGCGGAAGGGGCAAUCGGAAUUCUUGGUGUAGCGGUGAAAUGCGUAGAUAUCAAGAGGAACACCUGAGGUGAAGACGGGUUGCUGGGCCGACACUGACGCUGAUAGCGCGAAAGCCAGGGGAGCAAACAGG